rnacentral:lncRNA from 1 species
CGGAGUCUCGCUCCGUCCCCCAGGCGGGAGUGCAGUGGCGCGAUCUCGGCUCACUGCAAGCUCCGCCUCCCGGGUUCACGCCAUCUUGCCACUAAACCUGAUUUACCAACAUAACCUGUUUCUGGCCAUGCUGUGAAUCUGCAUUCUUUACUGUGUCCUUGGGAUACUAGGAGGAACCAGAGGAGCAGAUCCUGCUAGGAGGCUAAGCAUGAAGAAGGAAUUCAAAGAAACCUUGUGGAGAACGAAGACACAGCAGGGAGUCUCUGAUCAAGUGCCACAUCUUUAGAGAAGCUUUUCCAAACAACCGAUUAUGAAGUACACAUUAACAAUGAAGCCUCUUUUCAAGUAAAGAAGUGAGUAGCCUUCAAGCUCCAGAUAAUCCUCAGUGAGGUAUACUGUCCGCUCAAUAUCCAAGAGUCACCCUUCUACAAGGGACCUCUAGACUGCCCAUAAGUGAGACAUGACAGAGGUAAAGUCAUGCUCCUGUCUCCCUUGGACCUGGCUGGAAACUGCAUUCAUCAACCCAUGGAACCACCCCCCUGCCAUGAAAGCUAGCAAGAGGCCAAGACCCACAGAACAACCACCAUCAUCCCUCUGUCAGCAGGAAGCGGUUACAAAAGACUAACCUUUGCCCAUUUUCCCCAAAGAAUUGGGGUCUUGGAAUCUUGAGGGAGGAAAUGUUACAGUAGGUAGCUAGUCAGACAUGAGCAGAGCAGAAGAGGGCUUACACACACACACACACACACACACACACACACCCCACACACAAAGAAUCCUGGGCAACCAUCAGGCGAUUGUAAGGUGGUUGUUAACUGUGUCUCUAAAAUAACGAUUGGUCACAACCAGUGCAAUGGAAAGGCAGUCUCUCAAUAAACAGAAACACCUGGAGCUGAUGAUCAGCAGCUUCCUGAUCAGGUCUCAGAAGUUUGGCAAGCUGGCCUACACAUGCGCACUAAGAGGCAAAAUGGCACAGUUUAACUGGUAUAUGACUUCCAAUGGACAUUCAGCAUGUAAGGGAAAAAUGCCUCAAGUAAGCAUGCAUACAACUCCACUAAACACACUGUGCAUGCUCCCCUCUCAAGUGCUGGCAGGCCAGUGCACAUGGGGACAGCCCACCCCAAAGAAAGUCUCAAGGGUGUAGGGAUGCAAGACCCCGGGAAUAUGCCAAUGUAUUAAACCCUAAGUCAAAAGGUCAAAUCAUGCACUUGUCUUUCAAGUCACCCACUUGACCCUCUUCCAAGUGUACUUUCCUUCCUUUUGUUACUACUCUAAAGCUUUUUAAUAAAUUUUCACUUUUUGAAUUCUUGUCUGCAACUUAGACUAACCUUGCUUGUUUCUCUGAACCAACCAGUGAUCUCUGGCUCGACUCAGAAGCAACAAAUAGAUGGGUAACUUUUCAGACAUGAAUUGGAAUAAGAUAAGGCCAACUUGCUCAACUACAUUCCUUACUAAAACAUAAUAACUAAAAGCUACAGUGUGCAUUUCAUGUUUCACAUGUUCUGUUGCAGUGCCAAGACUAGGUUUAAGCAAUUCAGCUGCACAGUUACCAACCACUUCUUCUUGGAAGAUUUACCUACAAUCUAACUGAUAUACUUAACAAAAUUAUAUUUUUAAUAUUGAUUGUACAAUUUUUUACUCCUUAAUUGUAUCUGACAGCUUCUUAUACUUUAAACUUGAUCAACAGUAAAUUGUGAAGAGAGUAACUAUACACCACAUGGCUUGACAAUAUCCAAACAUCAUUCUUGUUCUACAAAAGUUACAAAUGGU